AGCUUUGCGCAGUGGCAGUAUCGUAGCCAAGGAGGUUUAUCCGAGGCACGAUUAUUGCUAAUUGAAAAAUGAUAAGAACUAAUAAAUAAACUUAGCAAAGUGGCAGGAUACAAGAUCAAUAUAUAAAAAUCAGUCAUGGGA
rfam:Tupaia chinensis contig77533, whole genome shotgun sequence.